UUGGAGGGCAAGUCUGGUGCCAGCAGCCGCGGUAAUUCCAGCUCCAAUAGCGUAUAUUAAAGUUGUUGCAGUUAAAAAGCUCGUAGUUGAAUUUCGGGGUUAGUAGGUUGGUCAUGCCUCUGGUAUGUACUGGUCUCACUGAUUCCUCCUUCCUGAUGAGCCGUAAUGCCAUUAAUUUGGUGUUGCGGGGAAUUUGGACUGUUACUUUGAAAAAAUUAGAGUGUUUAAAGCAAGCUAACGCUUGAAUACAUUAGCAUGGAAUAAUGAAAUAGGACGUUCGAUCCUAUUUUGUUGGUAUCUAGGAUUGACGUAAUGAUUAAUAGGGAUAGUUGGGGGCAUUAGUAUUCAAUUGUCAGAGGUGAAAUUCUUGGAUUUAUUGAAGACUAACUACUGCGAAAGCAUUUGCCAAGGAUGUUUUCAUUAAUCAAGAACGAAAGUUAGGGGAUCGAAGACGAUCAGAUACCGUCGUAGUCUUAACCAUAAACUAUGCCGACUAGGGAUCGGAUGAUGUUAAUUUUUUAAUGACUCAUUCGGCGCCUUACGGGAAAC
rnacentral:rRNA from 1 species